GGCUGCUCCUAGUACGAGAGGACCGGAGUGGACGAACCUCUGGUGUUCGGGUUGUCAUGCCAAUGGCAUUGCCCGGUAGCUAAGUUCGGAAUCGAUAAGUGCUGAAAGCAUCUAAGCACGAAGCGAGCCCUGAGAUGAGUUUUCCCUGGCGCUUUAAGCGUCCUAAAGGGUUGUCGGAGACUACGACGUUGAUAGGUUGGGUGUGUAAGCGCUGCGAGGCGUUGAGCUAACCAAUACUAAUUGCCCGUGAGGCUUAACCAUACAACACCUAAAGGGUUUUG
rnacentral:rRNA from 1 species